rnacentral:rRNA from 1 species
UACAGAGGGGGCAAGCGUUGUUCGGAAUUACUGGGCGUAAAGGGCGCGUAGGCGGCCUGUUAAGUCGAACGUGAAAUCCCCGGGCUCAACCCGGGAACUGCGUCCGAUACUGGCAGGCUUGAAUUCGGGAGAGGGAUGUGGAAUUCCAGGUGUAGCGGUGAAAUGCGUAGAUAUCUGGAGGAACACCGGUGGCGAAGGCGGGUCUCUGGACAGUUCCUGACACUGAGGCACGAAGGCCAGGGGAGCAAACGGG